rnacentral:tRNA from 1 species
AGCGGGGUAGGCCAGCCUGGUAGGCCGCGGGGCUCAUAGCCCCGAGGUCCCCGGUUCAAAGGGGGCCUAAACCCCCGAAUCGAUCCGGGCCCCGCUACCA